AUUGAACGCUGGCGGCAUGCCUUACACAUGCAAGUCGAACGGUAACGGGCCUUCGGGUGCCGACGAGUGGAGAACGGGUGAGUAAUACAUCGGAACGUGCCCGAUCGUGGGGGAUAACGAGGCGAAAGCUUUGCUAAUACCGCAUACGAUCUACGGAUGAAAGCAGGGGACCGCAAGGCCUUGCGCGGACGGAGCGGCCGAUGGCAGAUUAGGUAGUUGGUGGGAUAAAAGCUUACCAAGCCGACGAUCUGUAGCUGGUCUGAGAGGAUGAUCAGCCACACUGGGACUGAGACACGGCCCAGACUCCUACGGGAGGCAGCAGUGGGGAAUUUUAGACAAUGGGCGCAAGCCUGAUCCAGCCAUGCCGCGUGCAGGAUGAAGGCCUUCGGGUUGUAAACUGCUUUUGUACGGAACGAAAAGCCUUCUUUUAAUACAGGAGGGUCAUGACGGUACCGUAAGAAUAAGCACCGGCUAACUACGUG
rnacentral:rRNA from 1 species